UGCCAGCCGCCGCGGUAAUACGGAGGGUGCGAGCGUUAAUCGGAAUUACUGGGCGUAAAGCGCACGCAGGCGGUUUGUUAAGCUAGAUGUGAAAGCCCCGGGCUCAACCUGGGAAUAGCAUUUAGAACUGGCAGGCUAGAGUCUUGGAGAGGGGAGUGGAAUUCCAGGUGUAGCGGUGAAAUGCGUAGAUAUCUGGAGGAACAUCAGUGGCGAAGGCGACUCCCUGGCCAAAGACUGACGCUCAUGUGCGAAAGUGUGGGUAGCGAACAGGAUUAGAUA
rnacentral:rRNA from 1 species